UGCCUAACACAUGCAAGUCGAACGGAAACCUUUCGAGGUUUUAGUGGCGGACGGGUGAGUAACGCGUGAGAAUCUGCCUUCAGGAUGGGGACAACAAUUGGAAACGAUUGCUAAUACCCGAUAUGACGAAAGUUGAAAGAUUUAUCGCCUGGAGAUGAGCUCGCGUCAGAUUAGCUAGAUGGUGUGGUAACGGCGCACCAUGGCGACGAUCUGUAGCUGGUCUGAGAGGAUGAGCAGCCACACUGGGACUGAGACACGGCCCAGACUCCUACGGGAGGCAGCAGUGGGGAAUUUUCCGCAAUGGGCGCAAGCCUGACGGAGCAAUACCGCGUGAGGGAGGAAGGCUCUUGGGUCGUAAACCUCUUUUCUCAGGGAAGAACAAAAUGACGGUACCUGAGGAAUCAGCAUCGGCUAACUCCGUGCCGGCAGCCGCGGUAAUACGGAGGAUGCAAGCGUUAUCCGGAAUGAUUGGGCGUAAAGCGUCCGUAGGUGGUUAUGUAAGUCCGUGGUUAAAGCGUGGGGCUCAACCCCAUAAGGGCCAUGGAAACUACAAGACUUGAGUGAACUAGGGGUAGAGGGAAUUCCCAGUGUAGCGGUGAAAUGCGUAAAGAUUGGGAAGAACACCGAUGGCGAAAGCGCUCUACUGGACUUAAACUGACACUGACGGACGAAAGCUAUGGGAGCGAAAGGGAUUAGAUACACCUGUGGUC
rnacentral:rRNA from 1 species